UACAGAGGGUGCGAGCGUUGUCCGGAAUCACUGGGCGUAAAGGGCGCGUAGGCGGCCUGAUAAGUAGGGGGGUGAAAUCCUGUGGCUUAACUGCAGGGCUGCCUCCUAGACUGUUAGGCUCGAGCACGGUAGAGGCAGAUGGAAUUCCCGGUGUAGCGGUGGAAUGCGUAGAGAUCGGGAAGAACAUCGGUGGCGAAGGCGGUCUGCUGGGCCGUUGCUGACGCUGAGGCGCGACAGCAUGGGGAGCAAACGGG
rnacentral:rRNA from 1 species